rnacentral:rRNA from 1 species
UUGCACGCUGGCGGCAGGCCUAACACAUGCAAGUCGCACGGUAACAGGAAGAAGCUUGCUUCUUUGCUGACGAGUGGCGGACGGGUGAGUAAUGUCUGGGAAACUGCCUGAUGGAGGGGGAUAACUACUGGAAACGGUAGCUAAUACCGCAUAACGUCGCAAGACCAAAGAGGGGGACCUUCGGGCCUCUUGCCAUCGGAUGUGCCCAGAUGGGAUUAGCUAGUAGGUGGGGUAACGGCUCACCUAGGCGACGAUCCCUAGCUGGUCUGAGAGGAUGACCAGCCACACUGGAACUGAGACACGGUCCAGACUCCUACGGGAGGCAGCAGUGGGGAAUAUUGCACAAUGGGCGCAAGCCUGAUGCAGCCAUGCCGCGUGUAUGAAGAAGGCCUUCGGGUUGUAAAGUACUUUCAGCGGGGAGGAAGGGAGUAAAGUUAAUACCUUUGCUCAUUGACGUUACCCGCAGAAGAAGCACCGGCUAACUCCGU